ACAGCUCUGACCCCAGUUCUCCAAAGGCCUCCUGGACAAGGAGCUUGGCCCCCAGAGCAAGGAGCUGCUGAAAACCAUCCCCACUCAGGGGCAGGGCCGGUGAUUGGAGGCCUGGGGAUGGUGUACCCCAUUUUUUAACAGCAAAGCAAAUGUGAGACACCACCCCACAGGACGGGGCAUCUGUCACACGGAAACCCAGGAGGAGGAAGGCG
rnacentral:lncRNA from 1 species